UACGGAGGGAGCUAGCGUUGUUCGGAAUUACUGGGCGUAAAGCGCACGUAGGCGGCUUUGCAAGUUAGAGGUGAAAGCCCGGGGCUCAACUCCGGAAUUGCCUUUAAAACUGCAUCGCUAGAAUUGUGGAGAGGUAAGUGGAAUUCCGAGUGUAGAGGUGAAAUUCGUAGAUAUUCGGAAGAACACCAGUGGCGAAGGCGACUUACUGGACACAUAUUGACGCUGAGGUGCGAAAGCGUGGGGAGCAAACAGG
rnacentral:rRNA from 1 species